UACAGAGGGUGCAAGCGUUAAUCGGAAUUACUGGGCGUAAAGCGCGCGUAGGUGGUUUGUUAAGUUGGAUGUGAAAUCCCCGGGCUCAACCUGGGAACUGCAUCCAAAACUGGCAAGCUAGAGUAUGGUAGAGGGUGGUGGAAUUCCGGUGUAGCGGUGAAAUGCGUAGAGAUCGGAAGGAACACCAGUGGCGAAGGCGGCUACCUGGAUUGACACUGACACUGAGGCGCGAAAGCGUGGGGAGCAAACAGG
rnacentral:rRNA from 1 species